UCGCCCACAAUGCCCUCAACGGUUUCAACACGGAUGUGGCUGUGUGCGUGGUGUGAGCGGAUACAAUGCACUUGCCGGUCGGCGCUUGCCGAAGCCCUGUGAAGGGGCAUCCCUGCUGGGGCCGUAAUCGACGCAGGGUCGUCGGCGUAACCGUCCCAUCAUUGGUCUCCUCGCGCUAACCCCGUAGCGUGUGGUUUUUAGCGGGCUCCAGGCCCGCUUUUUUU
rnacentral:ncRNA from 21 species